CCUACGGGUGGCAGCAGUGGGGAAUAUUGCGCAAUGGGGGAAACCCUGACGCAGCGACGCCGUGUGAGGGAAGAAGGCUUUCGGGUCGUAAACCUCUGUCGGGAGGGAAGAACCUUCCAGGUCUGAAUAAGCCCUGGAACUGACGGUACCUCCAAAGGAAGCACCGGCUAACUCCGUGCCAGCAGCCGCGGUAAUACGGAGGGUGCAAGCGUUAAUCGGAAUCACUGGGCGUAAAGCGCGCGUAGGCCGCCUUUUAAGUCGGACGUGAAAGCCCUCGGCUCAACCGAGGAACUGCGUUCGAAACUGGGAGGCUUGAGUCCUGGAGAGGGUGGCGGAAUUCCGGGUGUAGGAGUGAAAUCCGUAGAUAUCCGGAGGAACACCGGUGGCGAAGGCGGCCACCUGGACAGGUACUGACGCUGAGGCGCGAAAGCGUGGGGAGCAAACAGGAUUAGAUACCCGUGUAGUC
rnacentral:rRNA from 1 species